GCUGACUUUUCUCAGGCAUAUGAAAGAUCAGAAUAAGAAGGUGGCCAACCUCAAGCACAAUCAACAGUUGGAAAAGAAGAAGAAUGCUCAGUUAUUAGAAGAAGUCCGCAGGCGAGAAGAUAGCAUGGCUGACAACUCACAGCAUUUGCAGAUAGAGGAACUGAUGAAUGCACUGGAGAAGACCAGACAGGAGCUGGAUGCCACCAAAGCACGCCUCGCCUCCACACAGCAGUCCCUGGCUGAAAAAGAAGCGCACUUGGCCAACCUCCGUAUUGAGAGGAGGAAACAGCUGGAGGAGAUCCUGGAGAUGAAACAGGAAGCACUACUUGCAGCCAUCAGUGAAAAAGAUGCAAACAUUGCUCUGCUGGAAUUGUCUGCCUCCAAAAAGAAAAAGACACAGGAAGAAGUCAUGGCCCUCAAGCGGGAAAAAGACCGACUAGUGCAUCAAUUAAAGCAGCAGGUGGGGCCUCCUGCAAGAAAGACCCAGAACAGAAUGAAGUUGAUGGCAGACAACUACGAUGAGGAUCAUCACCAUUACCACCACCACCACCAUCACCACCACCAUCGAUCUCCUGGGAGGUCGCAACAUUCCAAUCACAGGCCCUCUCCGGACCAGGAUGACGAGGAGGGCAUCUGGGCAUAGCCGGGCCUGUAAACCAAAGUUCCAGUUUUGUUUUGAGGGAUGAUCCAGCUCUGUCGGAGGCACAUAGGCACAGCCAGAUCUCAUGCUGUACAUUGGUCACCUGUCCAACCUUUGCCCAGAGUGGGAGCCCCCAGUCCCUUCAAGAUCCAACAUUACCUGUCUGUAAAGAAGAAGAGGAGGAGGGAGACAGCGGGGAGGAUCCGGUGGCAGUUUAACACCAGAGCAGGUCCAAUGUUUACUUUUACCCUUUUGGAGCUAUCAGAAGGGCUGAAUAAAGGGAACAUGCAGCUCUGCAGCAAUAUUCUGAUAAUCUAUUGCAGUGCGGCUCACAUCACUCACCACCACCUGGAGCGGCUCAUCAAAAUGGAAGGGGAGUUUUCACUUACAUUAUUGAGUGUGAUUCUGUUCUACUCGCUAUUUCCUUCAUCACCUCGUGUCAUUUCUCAUGGAUGUGGAUAUGUUGGAAAGGAAGAAUGCAGAGGAGGAGAAAAGUGAUAUGUCUUCUGUUUGUGUCUGGAUGCAGGCAUUUUGAAUGUGAUCAUCUUUGCUGAAUGUCAUUAUUUGAUAACAUUUUGUUUAAGUUACUUAAACAUCAUUGGAUAUAUUUGAACUCCAUGGGAUUUUAACUGUGGAUUCAGUUUCUGUUGGACAACUAGCCUCAUCUCCAGUAUCCUGCUGGUUCAGUCUAAGUGGUCAUUCCUAACGUAUUAGAUUGUCAAAAAGUGUAAAUUCUCUGUGAGUGAGUGGUGUUGGCAGUGUUUGUAUACCACAAUGCAUGGAGUGUUUGACAAAGAAACAAAAAACACCAAAAAUUGCGAGCCUUUACCCUCCUCUAUUUCUUUAAUCUGUUGUCUGAAGAACCGCAUUUUGAGGGUGUAACCAGUAGUUACCUCUGGGCCAGGUUGGAAAUGAAAUCAAUUUCUUAAACCACUAAUACUUGCCAAGAAACCGCCUUAUGAGAACAUGGUGUGUGUCUCUGACAAUGCAUGGCACAUCUAAAUUGAUCAUUCAUAAUUUUAUCUACCCAGGUCAUGUACCAGAAAGUGGCAAAAGCCUGAGGCACCUGCCUAUCUCUAGUUCCUGUGUUCCACACAUCCCCGUGGUGGGGAUGCCACCGAGCCUCAGACUCUUACCAUCCCGGUACAUGCAGGUCUCCAUGAAGAAGCUGGGACUCAUUUACAUUUCAAGAUCCAAAUGCUGUGCAAACAGUGUAAGCUUAGAUUUUCUGUAAAUGAAGGGUCAUUUCUCAUUUUUUUUUAAAAGAAAAUGUAUCUGCAACAUGGAAUCCAAAUCAUUUUCAGCAUCAAACAUGAAAACAUUGAUGAAUGAGGAACAAUCACAAAAGCUGUGUAUCUGUAUAUAGCUCUACACAACAUGUAUGUGGAUACAGUCAUUGUUUAAAGCACAUGCCAGGGAAAAAGACCAAAUUUUGAGGUCUUUUACAUACAGUGAUAUGGUACUAAGGAGAAUUAAACUCCUACUGCUUCCUCUGAAUAUUAAAAAACAACUAAAAUUGUUGUAACUUCAUAAAAUUCAUGACUGAGUCUGGCAAACAUGUGCAACUCUUGUAUUGCUCCAUUUCCUUGUCAAUGGAAGAAACCCUUCUACGUGUAUGCAAGUGGGAGAUGAAAACCUGCAUUUUUAAAGGACAAACAGUGAAUUUAAGCAUGAGUGGCCUUAAUAAAUAUAGUUGUCUUUCUUUGCUGCUGUGGAAAGGAUACUAAACAGAUGUUCCUGAAGUCUUGCAUUGACUUUAGUCGUUAUUAUUACUUUUUUAAAUGUUGAUGCAAUUAACUCUGGACCUCUCUCGUGAG